rfam:Zea mays cultivar B73 chromosome 5, whole genome shotgun sequence.
UAGGCUUCUCUUGACUCCAUUGUGCGUAUUAGCCUUUAUGGUUUGUGGGCAGCGUCUAAAUGGGAAGCAUAAACGAUUGUUCCUCUCGCUAUCCGGCGCGGAGUUUUUUGAUGCGAUUGGACGUCGAGGAACGACACUU